GGGACUUCCUUCCUGCGGCCCAGAAACCGGAAGUGGGCUAGUUUUCCACCGGAAGGAGAGAGAAAUUGCGACCCGGAGCCUGACACCUGCUGCUACCCCGUUUUGUCUCGCGAAGUUGGGCCAGACCCUGGCCCACUUGGUGUGGUUGGCGACAGUCGCGUCCAGGUACAUGAAUUCCCUGAAAGCAGCGCCGUUGUCCCCACGCUCUGAUCAUUCAGAGAUCAUGCAGCUGCAGCCACGGCUUUAAUGUGUGUAAUUCAAGUGGUGCACACACAGGCCAGUGGUCACAAUCUCAACACCUGAGUUUUCUAUAAACGAUUAAUGUUUUCCACGUGGAAGGAAAUGGAUUGGCAUCAGCAGAACGCAAACAGUGAUGUGGAGGGACACGGUGAGCUUGGCAGGAGCCAUGCGGCAACAGCUCUCUCAAGUGGCAGCAGGGCCGAGCCACAGAUUUAUCAGAGGUUGCAGCUGAACGUGGCCAUGAGGUAAACCCUGCCCUUGGUUGAAAUUUAGUUUCAUCAGCUUCUACAUGGAAUUAUAAGGACUUGGAAAAGAUCACAAAACCCAACAGGUUUUUCUUUUUUUAAGGUUUAUUUUUCCUUUUUGAAGAUAACAUGCUUAAACAAAGGUUCCUUUUUUGGGGGGUGGAGGGGUUCAAGACAGGGGUUCUCUGUGUAGCCCUGGCUGUCCUAUACUCGCUUUGUAGACCAGGCUGGAUUGAACUCACAGAGAUAGAUUCACCUGCCUCUGCCUCUCAAGUGCUGGGCUUACAGGCGUGCGCCACCUCACCCAGCUUAACAAAAAGGUUCUUUAUGGUGAGUGACUCUGAUGCUUGAAGUUGGUCACCCCUUAUUUAAGUAAACUUUAAAUGUCAAAGAUGUAGAUAUUUUGUUAAAUUAAAAAGUAUUAAAAUCUUA